rnacentral:rRNA from 1 species
UACGGAGGGGGCAAGCGUUAUUCGGAAUUAUUGGGCGUAAAGGGCGCGUAGGCGGCUCGAUAAGUCAAAGGUGAAAUCCCUCGGCUCAACUGAGGAACUGCCUUUGAAACUGUAGAGCUUGAGUCCGGGAGGGGGUAGCGGAAUUCCCAGUGUAGCGGUGAAAUGCGUAGAUAUUGGGAGGAACACCAGUGGCGAAGGCGGCUACCUGGACCGGAACUGACGCUGAGGCGCGAAAGCGUGGGUAGCAAACAGG